AAAUCUGGCACCUUCGGUGUCCGAGUUGUAAUUUGAAGAAGGUAACUUUGGAGUCAGCUCUUGUCUAUGUUCCUUGGAACAGGACGUCACAGAGGGUGAGAAUCCCGUGCGAUGAGAUGUCUGAUUCUAUGUAAAGUGCUUUCGAAGAGUCGAGUUGUUUGGGAAUGCAGCUCUAAGUGGGUGGUAAAUUCCAUCUAAAGCUAAAUAUUGGCGAGAGACCGAUAGCGAACAAGUACAGUGAUGGAAAGAUGAAAAGAACUUUGAAAAGAGAGUGAAAAAGUACGUGAAAUUGUUGAAAGGGAAGGGUUUGAGAUCAGACUUGGUAUUUUGUAUGUCUUGCUUUCGGGUGGGGCCUCUACAGUUUACUGGGCCAGCAUCGGUUUGGACGGUAGGAUAAUGACAUUGGAAUGUGGCACCACUUCGGUGGUGUGUUAUAGACUUUGUUGAUACUGCCUGUCUAGACCGAGGACUGCGUCUUUGACUAGGAUGCUGGCAUAAUGAUCUUAAACCGCCC
rnacentral:rRNA from 1 species